CUGCAGUAUAUAUACCCCGGUUUUCCUGCUACUCUUCGCCAGAUCGUUCCGUCACCCACAGUGGUCUGUUCUCCUGCCAGCUGUGUCUGCUUCCAAUCCUGCCUGCUCACUCCUGCACUCGGCUCUUCCUCAACCUGGAACCCUUUUGUUUAAAUAAAUAUUCUUUUGUUCAUCCUUUAAAA